AUGUCACCAGACGAAGAUCUGCGUCUCCUCUACCUCCGUCUCAUCCCACAACUCGCCGAAAACCGCCCGGAAUUCCAACAGGCAAUCGCCGAUUCUCCACUUUUCACAGCAUACAUGAAGCUGCUCAAACGUCAAGCCGAACUGAGCCCCCGAAUUCUUUCAGCACUGCUCUCGGCGAUUUCCUCCAUCGUUCGGUCUCACUUGCCGGCUUAUUUGAAGUUUCAGGCCAAGAAUGGGCUCACGGCCACUGAGAAGCUUAUUCAGAGCACGAAAGACCAUAAAAAUGCUGUAAAGGCUGGCCGUAUGAUCGUCAGUUUCCUGUAUACACUUACUGG
rnacentral:sRNA from 1 species